rnacentral:ncRNA from 1 species
AGAGGGACAAGCGGCUCCUAGCCGCACGAAACAGAGCAAUAACAAGUCUGUGAUGCCCUUAGAUGCCCGGGGCCACACGAGCGCUGCACUGAAGAAAGCAGCGUGUUUUUAUCCCUGUCUGUUAAGCCAGUAAGCUUAGAAAAAAGUGGCUUGAGCAAAUACAGAGGA